rnacentral:rRNA from 1 species
UACGGAGGGUGCAAGCGUUGUCCGGAUUUAUUGGGUUUAAAGGGUGCGUAGGCGGCGUAGUAAGUCCGUGGUGAAAGCCAACAGCUCAACUGUUGAACUGCCAUGGAUACUGCUAGGCUUGAGUACAGACGAGGUAGGCGGAAUGGAUAGUGUAGCGGUGAAAUGCAUAGAUACUAUCCAGAACACCGAUUGCGAAGGCAGCUUACUAGACUGUAACUGACGCUGAGGCACGAAAGCGUGGGGAGCGAACGGG